AUGCCGACCAUCAUCAUCAAGGUGGACCUGGAUUGCGCCCGCUGCCACCGCAAGAUCGAGAGGGUGCUCGACAGGAUCAGAGAGAAGGGCGAGUUCGUCAUCGACGACAUCGAGUACGAUGAGAAGAACAACAAGGUGAUCGUGAAGGGCCCCUUCGACGCCGACAAGCUCUCCGACAAGCUCUGCUGUAAGGCCUGCAAGAUCAUCAAGGAGAUCGAGAUCGUCGAGCCGCCGCCGCCGCCGCCGCCGGAGGAGCCCAAGAAAGAGGCGCCCGCGCCCCCGCCGCCGGAGCCGGAGGUCGUGGUGCCGCCGCCGCCAGCGGUCGUCGAGGAGCCCAAGUGCCCCGAGCCGGCACCGGAGCCGCCCAAGGAGGAGCCGCCAAAGGAGGAGCCGCCGAAGGAGGAGCCUGCGCCCCCGCCCAAGAAGGAGGAGCCCGCGCCCCCGCCGCCCAAGGUCGUGGAGAUACCGUACCCGUGGCCGUACCCCUACCCGUACCCGGCGUGGCCAUCGGACUGCUGCUGCCACCACGGCCAUGGCGGCUGCCACUGCUGCUCCUGCAAGCAAGAGCCCGCGCCGGCGCCGGCGCCCGAGCCGCCCCAGUUCAACAUCUACCCGCAGUACCCGCCGUACCCGCCGUACCCGCAGCAGCCGGCGUACCCGUGCGGCGGCUACAAGAUCGUCUGCGAGGAGGACCCCUCCUACGCCUGCGCCAUCAUGUGA
rnacentral:rRNA from 1 species